AAAUUAAAAUUUAAAAUUUAAAGUUUGAAAUCUAUUUUUCAAAAUUUAAAAUUUAAAACUUAAAAUUUAAAAAAUAAAAAAUGAAUCUAAAAAUUAAAAUUUAAAAUUUAAAUUAAAUUUAAAUAUUGAAAUUAAAAUAAAAAUUUAAAGUUUAAAUCUAAAAUCAGAAUCAGAUUUCAAGUAGUUUUUUUCUGCUUCUGAUUCUGCGGCCAUUAAAAUCCGUUUUCUGAUUCUAAAAAAUAGAAUCAGAUUUUAAAAAUAAGUUGUCAAAUGCUUUAUUAAGCCGAAAAUCAUUUUUCAGUCCAAAAGGGCUUUUUAAAAGCUAGGUCAAGCACCCUCUUAAACUCAAAUUGUUUGGUGACCAUUUUUUUUG
rnacentral:lncRNA from 1 species